CAAUGGAGGUUGUACAUAUGGCAUAGAUAAUGUUCCAGGCUAACCUGUUGUACAUUGCUUUAUAUGUUUUACAAGCAGUUGCUUAUUGUCCAACCACUACUUCCUUUUUCAAGAGAGAAGGGGAGACAUGCCAUAGUAAACCCUAGCUCCACCCUUCCACCGCUUCGACGCCGCGCUGGUGUCACAGUCACUAUCAACGUUUCAACCCCAACAGUGGCAACGACAAGAAGUGAUUUGAGGGUUUAGAACUGAUUUGAGGGAUUUGAGGGUUUAGCACUGAUUUGAGGUUCCGCAAAAAGAGGCGAAAGGAAGAAAGAGAGAGAGAGUGGAAUCGGAAUUGGUUUUCCGGCGUAUAGGGUUUCGAUUAUGAGCUAAAGACCGAGCUUUGCCAUCUCAAUUCUUAAAGACCAGGUUAAGGAUGAAGUAGUAUGUUACAAGUAGUAUAAGCAAGGGUACAUGUUGGGAAGUUAAUUGCUAUAGUUUUUUGUUGAAAACAAACUCAUGAAAAUUUUGCUGAUCAACUGGAACUUGGAGCUGGAUACUUAAUGGGUCAACAAGGAGCUUGGGGGUGUCUCAAGUACAUCCCACAUUGGUCAACGGAAAGCUCAUCAUAGCUUUGUUGAUGGCCUACCGUUUACCCUAAAAAGGCUAUCUGAGGUGAAUGUGCUAUUAUUUGUUAAUCGUUGUUUGAUUCAUCUUUUUCCUUAAACCACAUGCUACCUUUUAAUUUGGUGUGAAUUCUUGUAUUUAAUUUGGCAUGGACGUGGAAGCAACCGAGAAACCAUCAGAAUCAAGUUCCCGGAGGACAACAGAUGCGAAGGAAGAGAGAGAGUGGAAUCGACUUGGUUUUCAGACGUAUAGGGUUUCGAUUAUGAGCUACAUGAGCUUCGCCAUCUCAAUUCUCAAAGACCAGGUGUGUCGUUUGUGUUUUUCCGGGGUGCGUCUAGGUGGUAUAUAUACUUAUACUGAAUACAACCUAAGUUGCAACCAUAAUACAUAUACAAAUCUAGGCAUAAACUCUUGGUUGCAGCUCAUGUAUCUAACUUGAUGGAAAUAUAAAUUUAGCCCCCGCCGCGGGUUACUUUUCUAGUUGAUCAAUCUAAAAUGGAUGAUUGAGAUUGCAUU